CUGCAUCUAUGAUUUUGACUGCUCUACAGUCCUCAUAUAAGUAGAAAUCCACGGCACUUGUCUUUCUGGAACUGGCUUAUUUCACUCAGCAUAAUGUCCUCGAGGUUCAUCCAUGUUGCUGCGUGUGACAGGAUUUCCUUAUUUUGGAGGCUGAAUACUAUUCCACCGUAUGGAUGCUCCCCAUUUUGUUUACCCAUUCAUCUAUCAAUGGACACUGGGUUGCUUCCAGCUUUUGGCUGUUGUAACACUACUGUGAGUGAGGGUAUACUACUAUUUUUUCAAGACCCUGCUUUCAAGUCUCUUAGGUAUCUAGAUGUGGGAUUGCUGGAUCUCAUGGUUAUUCUAUGUUCAAUUCUUUAAGCAUUUCCACAGGAGAGCAGAAUAUUAUUAUUCAGAAUGAAAAGAGGGGCCCAAUUCCUGGAGAAGGGCAAAUAUCUUGAUUUUUAAAAUAAGAGAAAACGUAUAUGUGUGAACUGGGGGACUUUCUGUUGAGCCCCCAGCAACAUUCUAAAACAGUGUCACUAAACUUCUUGUUAAGAGUUCCGUGAUAGCAACUAUGACAACGGCAAUGGCACCGAGUCUUGGAAUCACAAUGGUCUUUGUUGCCGCCUCUGCUAUCGUUGGGAGGUUGUAUUUUCAUGAUUCCUUCAAUAACUGCAGCCUAGCAUUUUACUUCAGGAAUAUCAGUAUUCCUUAGGAGGAACAUCCUUAUCAGCGGGACAUCAGCGCCACAGCACAAGGUUGCGAAAAAGAGACUGAGGCUCAGGCUGUGUGAAGGGAACAGAGUGCUGGGCUCCCCGGGCAGCCCACAUUGGAAGGGUGGGCUCUUUCCAUGUUUCAGGAAAGACCUGGCCCUCGGGGGCGCAUCAACAGGUGUGUGGACAGAUGGAAGAGGCUGGAGGUUACCUCACAGCCGAGAGAACAGAACAAACACUAGCUUGAGGAAGACGCUGAGGCACAGGGCGGUGACCCUGGAAUGUGAAACAGAGGAUUCAAUGCCUGCGUGGAUCUAGGACUAAGAACUGGAUCUGACACUCAGCAUUAACAGAAAGCCAGGUUUUUCUUAAAAAAAAAAAAAAAAGAAAAUUGAAAUGGGCUACCCUUCACACCAUGUUUUCUCAUCCCUUGAAGCAUUUCAUCAGAGGCUGUGUUGUGUCACACCUGAGGGGCUCACCAACCAGCUCCGGGGAUCUGCCGUGCGUAUCAUUCUCUGCAGGCCAACAGCCAGGGAGAAGAGAGCUCCCCUCGCAAGUGUCAAGAGAUAGGCCAGGGUGAUGGGUCAGCUGCGGGUUAUCAAGCCCCCAAAUUUCCAGCACAUUGCUGCCAUUACUGGCCAGGCCUGGCUGCCCCAGGAGACGCUCCCAUUCAAGGAGCGGUGGGAGGAUGGCAGUAAACGCAGGAGACUCAGCAAGUUUUAAGGAGGACUCAACUCCACUGACUGCUCCUGUCCUGACUUUGGUGGGUGGACAGGGUGGGUGGACAGACUGCAGAGGGGCCCAGAGGAAGGAUGUUGUGGGUUGGGGGUGGCAAAGAAAGCGCCCAGCCCCCAGGUUCUCCCUUGUAAAAACACAUAACCACAGGGCAUAAUCUUUCACAAACCCUCUUGGUUGGAGAAGAUUUGAAGGCUAUUUCAAUUUGUGAAGUCGUCACUAAUUUCAAAUUACUUUCCAAAAUCAUCGCAUCCACUGGGACCCUUUGCAACUGUAGUAAACAAAGUACCUCUUUCCUCUCCUGCUUCUGGAGGGCUGGAGCCAAUGGGAGGAGCUUUUUCA
rnacentral:lncRNA from 1 species